rnacentral:misc_RNA from 1 species
AAUUCUAUUCUCAUUAGGUAAUUGUAAGUCUCAAAACCCUAGCUACCUUCUUCAAUCUCUUUAUUCUGAAUUUGUAAUGUAUAUGUAUAAUUAGCAGAUCUUUCCUAUUUUCAAUUUGUUAUCAUUGAAAUUUCAAUUCGCCUUUUGUCUUCCCGAGGAGAGGAAGAGGGAUCCAAAAAAUGCUUUGAAUUGUGUGAAAUUUUAUGUGAUUUUACGUAUGUAUAUAUGUGUGUGUGUGUGUGGCUGCCCGUGUGUAUUUGGAUAUAGAUUAGUUUAUUUUAAAUGUAAAUAUUUAGAUAUUCUUGUUUAUUAUUACAGCAGCAUAUGAUACAGCAAUAAGCAACUUCAUUAUUUAUUGUAAUUAAUUAAGCAGGAGUCUUUGCUAAUAUUAAUCAUUAGAUUUUGAGUGUGUUAA